ACGGGAGGCAGCAGUGGGGGAUAUUGCACAAUGGGGGAAACCCUGAUGCAGCGACGCCGCGUGAGUGAAGAAGUAUUUCGGUAUGUAAAGCUCUAUCAGCAGGAAAGAUAAUGACGGUACCUGACUAAGAAGCACCGGCUAAAUACGUGCCAGCAGCCGCGGUAAUACGUAUGGUGCAAGCGUUAUCCGGAUUUACUGGGUGUAAAGGGAGCGCAGACGGCAUGGCAAGCCAGAUGUGAAAGGCAGGGGCUCAACCCCUGGACUGCAUUUGGAACUGUCAAGCUAGAGUAUCGGAGAGGUAAGUGGAAUUCCUAGUGUAGCGGUGAAAUGCGUAGAUAUUAGGAGGAACACCAGUGGCGAAGGCGGCUUACUGGACGAUAACUGACGUUGAGGCUCGAAAGCGUGGGGAGCGAACAGGAUUAGAUACCCUGGUA
rnacentral:rRNA from 1 species